rnacentral:rRNA from 1 species
GACGUAGGGGGCGAGCGUUGUCCGGAUUCACUGGGCGUAAAGCGCGUGCAGGCGGCCCGUUAAGUCCCGUGUGAAAGCCUCCGGCUCAACCGGAGAAUGUCGCGGGAUACUGGCGGGCUUGAGGAAGGCAGAGGGUGGUGGAAUUCCCGGUGUAGCGGUGAAAUGCGUAGAUAUCGGGAGGAACGCCAGUGGCGAAGGCGGCCACCUGGGCCUUCUCUGACGCUGAGACGCGAAAGCUGGGGGAGCGAACGGG